GAUGAAGAACGUAGCGAAAUGGGAUAAGUAAUGUGAAUUGCAGAAUUCAGUGAAUCAUCGAAUCUUUGAACGCACCUUGCACCCUUUGGCAUUCCGAAGGGUAUGCUCGUUUGAGUGUCAUUGUACUCUCACACUUCUGAUCCUUUGGAUUGGGAGCGGUGGACUUGGGUGUUGCUGCUUUACUGUGGCUCACCUCAAAUGCAUUCGUGCAACUCUUGGUUGGACAUAGUACGGCGUGAUAAGUAUCUUCGCCGGCACCUCGCAAGAGGGUGGCUGAUCAGGAGCUCUGUGCUUUCCAACUGUCUUCAGACAACAACUGACAACUUGACCUCAAAUCGAGGAGGACCACCCGCUGAACUUAAGCAUAUCAAUAAGCGGAGGA
rnacentral:misc_RNA from 1 species